rnacentral:rRNA from 1 species
GAUGAACGCUGACAGAAUGCUUAACACAUGCAAGUCCACUUAAACUUCGGUUUGGGUGGCGGACGGGUGAGUAACGCGUAAAGAACUUGCCUCACAGAUAGGGACAACAUUUGGAAACGAAUGCUAAUACCUGAUAUUAUGAUUUUAGGGCAUCCUAGGAUUCUGAAAGCUAUAUGCGCUGUGAGAGAGCUUUGCGUCCCAUUAGCUAGUUGGAGAGGUAACGGCUCACCAAGGCGAUGAUGGGUAGCCGGCCUGAGAGGGUGAUCGGCCACAAGGGGACUGAGACACGGCCCUUACUCCUACGGGAGGCAGCAGUGGGGAAUAUUGGACAAUGGACCAAGAGUCUGAUCCAGCAAUUCUGUGUGCACGAUGAAGUUUUUCGGAAUGUAAAGUGCUUUCAGUUGGGAAGAAAAAAAUGACGGUACCAACAGAAGAAGUGACGGCUAAAUACGUG